GCCCAGGUGGCGGAAUUGGUAGACGCGAGGGACUUAAAAUCCCUUGACAGCGAUGUCGUGAGAGUUCGAUUCUCUCCCUGGGCACAA
rnacentral:tRNA from 1 species